rnacentral:rRNA from 1 species
CUAUUUAGGUAGAGCCUUGAGGUGACACCUUUGGGGGUAGAGCACUGUUUCGGCUAGGGGUCCAUCCCGGAUUACCAACCCGAUGCAAACUACGAAUACCAAAGAGUGAUACUCAGGAGACACACGGCGGGUGCUAACGUCCGUCGUGGAGAGGGAAACAACCCAGACCGCCAGCUAAGGUCCCCAAGUCUAUAUUAAGUGGGAAACGAAGUGGGAAGGCUUAGACAGCUAGGAUGUUGGCUUAGAAGCAGCCAUCAUUUAAAGAAAGCGUAAUAGCUCACUAGUCGAGUCGGCCUGCGCGGAAGAUGUAACGGGGCUGAAAUAUAGCACCGAAGCUGCGGCAUCAGGCGUAUCACUAAUACGCCUUACGAUUAACAAGCUAGAAUGGCGCGAAGCGGCAUGAAAGGUUGUUCAAGCAACCCGAACGUUGAGUCGGGGUAUUUUUGAAGUAAGGAUUAUUAGUGAUACGCCUGUUGGGUAGGGGAGCGUUGUGUAAGCGGAUGAAGGUUAAUCGAGAGGUUAGCUGGACGUAUCACAAGUGCGAAUGCUGACAUAAGUAACGAUAAAACGGGUGAAAAACCCGUUCGCCGGAAGACCAAGGGUUCCUGUCCAACGUUAAUCGGGGCAGGGUGAGUCGGCUCCUAAGGCGAGGCUGAAAAGCGUAGUCGAUGGGAAACAGGUUAAUAUUCCUGUACUUGGUAAAGCUGCGAUGUGGGGACGGAGUAGGUUAGGUUAUCGCACUGUUGGAUAUGUGCGUUUAAGUUGGUAGGUGGGAAGUUUAGGCAAAUCCGGACUUCCUUAACACAGAGAGAUGAUGACGAGGCUCUACGGAGCUGAAGUAACUGAUACCACACUUCCAGGAAAAGCCACUAAGCGAAAGGCUUUACUAAACCGUACUGAAAACCGACACAGGUGGUCAGGUAGAGAAUACUCAGGCGCUUGAGAGAACUCGGGUGAAGGAACUAGGCAAAAUAGCACCGUAACUUCGGGAGAAGGUGCGCCGGCGUAGAUUGUAGUCCCUAGCGGGCGAAGGUUGAACCGGUCGAAGAUACCAGCUGGCUGCAACUGUUUAUUAAAAACACAGCACUCUGCAAACACGAAAGUGGACGUAUAGGGUGUGAUGCCUGCCCGGUGCUGGAAGGUUAAUUGAUGGUGUCAUCGCAAGAGAAGCACCUGAUCGAAGCCCC